ensembl:lincRNA
GGUUCCUGCACUCACUGUGUGUGUGUGUGUGAAGUCACUUCAGUCGCGUCUGACUCUUUGCAGCCUCUCCAGGCAAGAAUACGGGCAAUAUUCUCCAGGCAAUACUCCAGGCAAAAUUCUCCAGGCAAGAAUACUGGAGCAAAUUGCCAUGCCCUCCUCCAGGGCAUCUUCCCGACACAGGGAUCAAACCCCUGUCUCCUGGGUAUCCUGCAUUGUCCAGCAGGUUCUUUACCAUUAGCACCACCUGGGAAGGCCCCCUCAUUCACUGGAAAGGGAUCAAAUAUUUAAUGAGGAGAAAUUAUAAAAGGUUUAGAAAUGCUAGGCUUACACAGACACCACCAUGAAUGUGGGUUUCUUAAACAGUUUCCCUUCUCUUUGGCGUUUUUGCCUUUGUGAAUGUGUCUUCUUUCUUCAAUGGCUAAAGGAUCAAAAUGCAGACACCACAGCGUGAAGAAGCAGCAGGAUCCGAAUGGAAAUCCUGAAUCCACUUCUCGAGGAAACCGCGUUACAGCGCCGGGUCCCCUGGGUGCCUUUGUGGCCUUUCUCUCUUUUCAUCUUGUUUCAUCACCGGCGAGGGGGCAGGCCAGUCCCCCGUCCGCGGUCCAAUCCGGUGCGGAGGUUCAGGCUGUCUCCAAGGGAACCGGGACCGUCUUCCUGUUGCUUCCGCCACCCCCUCCAAGUCCUGUAAGCGCGUCUCUCAUGUAACAGGAAAACACGCAAGAGGGGAGCUUUGCCUGCUGAUGAGAAGAAAUCACUCGGCCCGGCGGGUCUGCGGAUGGUGGCUUCCCAUCGGGCUUCCUCCUCCCCUGCUACUGUGGGGGUCAGGGGCCCGCGGUGCACGGAGCCCCCCAGACAGCAGGUUCACAGGCCCAGCAGUGGGGAGCGACAGGACGCUACAAACGUGGAGGUGGUGGGAGCAGGUUGCCAUGGCGACACAGCACGACCUUGGGCUCCACAAGGACAAGCGCAGACCAAGGGAUGCUCUCUGGGUGAAGAUGCUCCAAGAGAAAACGGAGACUCAGCAGAGGCAGAGGAAGACCCCCGGCCUCGGCUCUCAGUGGGACCUGGAGAGCCAGCAGAGAGAGGUAUCUGUGGUCUGCCGUGUUUGCAGGACGGAUCCACGUGCUGCCGUUAUCGCGCUUGGGGAAGGGCCCUUCAGGCCUCAGGUUCGCAGCAGGUGCCUGGUCCAACUUCACCUCCUCUCCAUCACACGCAAGCCCUUCCCGUUGCGUCUUAUCCCGACCAUUUCCCAGGGGAGAGCUUGGCUGGUAGAGGUCAGGGAGCUGCCCCCAGGCGCAGCUGGGCAGUGCCAGAGCCGGGGUGUGCCCAGGCUGCUGGCUACUCCUCACUGCCCUUGGCAAGAUGCGCUCUCACCAGCUUUCCCCUCACCCACGACCCCUGCUGCCUGCUCCCCCACAGUCCAGGCCCACAGUCCAGGCCCAGAGGCCAGGCCCACAGUCCAGGCCCAUUUUGAGCGGAGCUUGCUCAGGACUGGCUCCUUCCUGUCUCUAUCUCUGAAUUCCUCCUCGGAGUUGCCAUCUCAAGCCUCUCUAGAGAGGCUACCUGAACAUCUCAGACAUGUUUCAUAUGCCUUCCCAACUCCAGGUUUCUUCCCAGUUGAUGGCCUGCCUGACUGCAGGGGGCCUGGGCCUUCCCACCAUCCCACCCUCUUCAGAAAGCCUUCAUUAGCUCCCAGCAGCUCCCAAACACACACAAACUUCUCCCACACCAUUUUAAAUAAUCCAAUACAGUUCCUUUUUUAUUUUUCAGUCAGUUCAGUUCAGUUGCUCAGUCCUGUCUGACUCUCUGCAACCCCAUAGACUGCAGCAAGCCAGGCCUCCCUGUCCUUCACUGUCUUCCAGAGCCUGCUCAAAUUCAUGUCCAUUGAGUCGGUGAUGUCAUCCAACCAUCUCAUCCUCUGUCGUCCCUUUCUCCUCCCACCUUCCAUCUUUCCCAGCAUCAGGGUCUUUUCCAAUGAGUCAGUUCAUUGCAUCAGGUGGCCAAAGUAUUGGAGUUUCAGCUUCAGCAUCAGUCCUUCCAAUGAACACCCAGGACUGAUCUCCUUUAGGAUGGACUGGUUGGAUCUCCUUGCAGUCCAAGGGACUCUUAAGAAUCUUCUCCAACACCACAGUUCAAAACCAUCAAUUCUCCGGCACUCAGCUUUCAUUAUGGUCCAACUCUCACAUCCAUAUAUGACUACUGGAAAAACCAUAAUCUUGACUGGAUGGACCUUUGUUGGCAAAGUAAUGUCUCUGCUUUUUAAUAGGCUGUCUAGGUUGGUCAUAGCUUUUCUCCCAAAGAGCAAGCGUCUUUUGAUUUCAUGGCUGCGGCCACCAUCUGCAGUGAUUUUGGAGCCCAAGAAAAUAAAGUCUGUCACUGUUUCCACUGUUUCCCCGUCUAUUUGCCAUGAAGCAAUGGGACCGGAUGCCAUGAUCUUGGUUUUUUGAAUGUUGAGUUUUAAGCCAGCUUUUUCACUCUCCUCUUUCACCUUCAUCAAGAGGCUCUUUAGUUCCUCUUCGCUUUCUGGCAUAUGGUGGUGUCAUCUGCGUGUCUGAGGUUGUUGGUCUUUCUCCCGGCAGUCUUGAGCUGCACCAGGUCUUACUUGCAGUGCACGGGGGCUUCUGUCUUUGCUGCAGCAGGCGACAUGUUUUAGUUGCAACAUGGGAGCCCUUGGCUGUGGCUUGUGGGAUCGAGUUCCCCGAUCAGGGAUCGAACCUGGGCCCCUUCCAUUGGGAAUGCAGAGUCUUAGCCACUGGACCACCGGGGAAGUCCCUCACAUAGCUGCUUUUGAAGUUUGCUGUCUUCGUGCCACAGGCUGACCACCAGAGCCGCCAAGGCCUGAGUUCCAUGGAUCUGAUCUGGGACCUUCCCUGAAGUACGUGCUCAAUGCAGCUUGCGCCUCCAAAGCAGUUACUUUGUGCCAAUGAGAGACAAAUAAUUAAAAAAACCUAAAAAAGAUUAAAAAAAUAGAUUCGAUGGUAAGAUGGGAGAGGAUACAGGCUGUGGAAAAAAUGGAGGGCAGGUUAAAGGAUAUCUGGGGUGCUAGGGAGGGCGGCCCUGUGGGUCUCUGGGUCCGACCACCCUGGAGAAGAGCAGGUGCCAAGGCCCUGGGGUGCGUGUGGUAAGCAGGGCACAGUGAGGACCCCUGGGUGCUGGGAGAGUGGGGACGCGGUGGGCAGGGGCAGGGCAGGGGUCCCGGGCCUACGGGCCAGAC